rnacentral:misc_RNA from 1 species
UUAAGUUCAGCGGGUAUUCCUACCUGAUCCGAGGUCAACCUUGAGAAAGUUCGUUUCUUUUACGGCGUGGCCGCGCCGCUCUCCAGUGCGAGGUGUAUGCUACUACGCAGAGAAGGCCGCGGCGGGACCGCCACUGGGGUUUCGGGGGCGCCGUCCGAUGCGGAGGCCGGUCCCCAACGCCGGAGCCGCACGAAUGCGGG